UAGUAUCAGAUGUAGUCCCCUGCCAAACGCCGCAGUGCUCUUUGUAGCAGGUGGCUUGCAGCCUUUCGUGACGACCAAAGAACACUAUCUGACCUCACACACACAUUCCGUCGGAGAAAGUAAAGUGCGAAUGCGUGUAUUUCUGGGAGAAUGCUUCUGCAAUGCACAACGCCGAUAUAUCCUGGCUGCUCCUAUAGAAAUUUGCACCAAAGAGGAACAAUGAGCAGUGAUUCGUUUUCGCUGGUCGGAGGGGGUCAAAGCUCUAGACAUUCAUCACAGACUAUCUUCGCAAUACAGGAGAAAUGCAGUAUCACGUAAAACUGCAUCUUUGGGGAUAAAGAAUUUGCUAUUCACAACAAUCGCAACAGCAAUUCGCCACAAAUGCUGACGCUUGCUGUAAAAUAAAGUUUUGUUAUGAGAA